rnacentral:rRNA from 1 species
UACGUAGGUGGCAAGCGUUUGUCCGGAUUUACUGGGCGUAAAGAGCGCGCAGGCGGUCGUUUAAGUCGAAUGUGAAAGCCCCCGGCUCAACUGGGGAGGGUCAUUCGAUACUGAUCGACUUGAAGGCAGGAGAGAGAAGUGGAAUUCCCGGUGUAGUGGUGAAAUGCGUAGAUAUCGGGAGGAACACCAGUGGCGAAGGCGACUUCUUGGCCUGUUCUUGACGCUGAGGCGCGGAAAGCUGGGGGGAGCAAACGGG